rnacentral:rRNA from 1 species
AUUGAACGCUGGCGGCAUGCCUAACACAUGCAAGUCGAACGAGUGGAGGACGGGUGAGUAAUGUCUGGGAAAGUGCCUAAUGGAGGGGGAUAACUACUGGAAACGGUAGCUAAUACUGCAUACCAUCAGAUCUGCCCAGAUGGGAUUAGCUAGUUGGGGGGGUAACGGCUCACCAAGGCGACGAUCCCUACCUGGUCUGAGAGGAUGACCCGCCACACUGGAACUGAGACCCUGUCCAGACCCCUACGGGAGGCAGGAGUUGGGAAUAUUGGGCAAUGGGGGAAAUCCUUAUGCAGCCAUGCCGGGGGUGUGAAGAAGGCCUUCGGGUUGUAAAGUUCUUUUAGCAGGGAGGCGUUAUCUGCAGAAGAAGCACCGGCUAACUCCGUGCCAGCAGCCGCGGUAAUAC